UACAGAGGCCUCAAGCGUUGUUCGGAUUCAUUGGGGCGUUAAAGGGGUGCGAGCAGGCGGUCGGGUAAGUCGGGAUGUGAAAUCCCGGGGCUCCGAACCUCGGAACUGCAUUCGAUACUGCCUGGCUGGAGGAUUGGAGAGGGAGAGUGGAAUUCACGGUGUAGCAGUGAAAUGCGUAGAGAUCGUGAGGAAGACCAACGGCGAAGGCAGCUCUCUGGACAAUUCCUGACGCUGAGGCACGAAGGCCAGGGGGAGCAAACGGGG
rnacentral:rRNA from 1 species